AACCAGCGCGAGAGUAGAGCGGAAAAAUGACUUCUCGGUGUCUUGUUGACAACACACCUGUAACGCAUCCCAGAAUCACAUUUGCUUUUCUUGCAAUA